AAGGGUGCGUAGGCGGUUUAUUAAGUCAGUGGUGAAAGACGGUCGCUCAACGAUUGCAGUGCCAUUGAUACUGGUAGACUUGAGUGGGAUUGAGGUAGCUGGAAUGGAUAGUGUAGCGGUGAAAUGCAUAGAUAUUAUCCAGAACACCAAUUGCGUAGGCAAGUUACUAAGUCUCAACUGACGCUGAGGCACGAAAGUGUGGGUAUCAAACAGGAUUAGAUACCCCUUGU
rnacentral:rRNA from 1 species